UAUAGCUACUGGUUGUAGCAACUACUGCAGUCUCCUUAGCUACAGAGAAGCCAUGACUGCUUCUGUGCUGCUCAUCAAGAUUUCAAAGUUACAAAGUGAACCCAACUCCAUGCCCAGUUCAGUUACAAAGUUGGAGACAGAGUUGUGCACACCUACAGAGAUGGGGUCUUGCUAUACUGCCCAGGCUGGUCUAAAAUUCCUGCCCUCAAGCAAUCCUCCUGUCUUGGCCUCCUAAAGUGCAAGUGUAUGUCAUUGACCCAGGACCUCUUCCAUCUGCCAAGACCCUUUAAACAGACCUCAACUCUGGUUCUCAAAAUUGUACAAUCAGUGGAGAAUGCUGAAACAUCAGAGAGGAAGAGAGAAGAUAUAUUAACUUGCACAACUCAGGUAAUGAGAUCCUUCUAUCCUUCUUGUUCCUUACCCAAGAUGUGUUGACCACCUCUUUGUUGUGUUGUUGAGUAUUUUAAUUUUUUUUUUUUUUUUGAGAUGGAGUUUUGCUCUUGUUGCCCAGGGUGGAGUGCAAUGGCGCGAUCUCGGCUCAUUGCAACCUCUGCCUCCUGGGUUCAAGUGAUCCUCCUGCCUCAACCUCCCAAAGUGCUGGGAUUACAGGCGUGAGCCACCAUGCCUGGCCUUGUUGUGUUAUUUUAAUUGAUUUUUAAAAAUAUGCCCUUCAAGCAUCUUAAUUUUGUCUGUGAGCUGUUCUGUUCCAUGUCAUCUGGAAUAGCUUGCUGAGUAGUGAACUUGUUGGCUACUAUUGUAUUAAACUAAUUUUUCACAUAAUAAUUAAUAAGAGCUGAUUCCUGAGCAAUAACUUGUGGCAUAAUUAUUUAGUUUGCAAAUUUGCAGACUACUAUCUGAAAAAUUAAUGUCAAUCUAGGCUACAGAAAUAUAGCAAUGGUUAGAAAAAAUGAAAUUCAAAUAAUAAUAGUCAGCUUUAAGUAUGAUCCAAAAUUGUGAGACAUUUUAAUGAACUAAACUUUCAUUUAUCAUGGGAGACAUCAAAUUAAAUAAUGGAGACAGCCUGGGGAAUGGUGGCAGAUAAAUUAUUAUAUAGGCCCGUGUUCAUGAAAUAAUACACAGAAAUAUUACUUUCUAGUGGCAGAUACAAACUCAGGAUUAGGAUUUACCUUUCUUUCAAGACAUGAAGAUGCCAGAGCCAUGGUCCAAGGUUUAAGCUAUUAUUUUUUUCAUAUGUAACUACGGUAUACAUAGAAAGUGAAUAAGCAACAUACCUUAUAGCUAUAUCAAUUCAAAAUAGGCAAAGAUAGGCAAUAUCCUCGUUGCGAUUUUGUACUAUAAUUUUAUAAGAUUUUACUAUUGGGGAAGCUAGGUAAAGAGUACACAGAAUAUCAAAUUAUUUCUUACAACUACAUAUGAAUCUACAAUAAUCUUAAAUAAAAUUUUACUCAAAAAAUAAAAAACUGCAGUGGUAUCCAUAUUUAGAACUGAGCAGUAAUAAAAAUGCUGCAUAUAAAGAGUUGUAAGGAACAAUGUCUACAAUACUUGGAGAAAUAUGUAUGGCCUUGGAUGUAUUUAUAAAAAUGGAAGAAUGGGUGUGGCCCGCCGUGCCUUGCCGUGCCUCGCCAUGCACCUGUGUGGCUAAGGCUUCUGCUGUGUGUGCGCGCAGGUGUGACUUGUGUCCCUAAAGUUUGUGAUGUCCGGGGGACUGCAUGUACCUUCAGCUGUCCUCCCUUCACACGCAUGUGGACACAGUGUCACCUCCUCAAGCCAUAGGGUGCCGAGUCUAAAGCACAGGGCCGGGUUCCAAGACAGCUGAAUAGGAACAGCUCCAGUCUACAGAUCCCAGUGUGAGAGACACAGAAGACAGGUGAUUUCUGCAUUUCCAACUGAGGUACUGAGUUCAUCUCACUGGGGCUUGUUGGACAGUGGGUGCAGUCCAAGGAGUGUGAGCCAAAGCAGGGCAGGGCAUCGCAUCCCACAGGAAGCUCAAGGGGUCAGAGAAUUCCCUUUCCUAGCCAAGUGAAGCUGUGACUGAUGGUACUUGGAAAAUUGGGACACUCCCACCCUAAUACUGUGCUGUUCCAAUGGUCUUAGCAAACAGCACACCAGAAGAUUAUAUUCUGCACCUGGCUCAGAGGGUCCCACACCCACGGAGCCUCACUCACUGCUAGCACAGCAGUCUGAGAUUGAACUGCAAGGCGGCAGCAAGGCUGGGGGAGGGGCGUCCACCAUUGCUGAGGCUUGAGUAGGUAAACAAAGUGGCCAGGAAGCUUGAACUGGGUGGAGCCCACAGCAGCUCAAGGAGGCCUGCCUGCCUCUGUAGACUCCACCUGUGGGGCAGGGCAUAGCUGAACAAAAAGCAGAAGAAACUUCUGCAGACUUAAACAUCCCUGUCUGACAGCUUUGAUAGGAGCAGUGGUUCUCCCAGCAUGGAGUUUGAGAUCUGAGAAUGGACAGACUGCCUCCUCAAGUGGGUCCCUGACCCCUGAGUAGCCUAACUGGGAGACACAUCCCAGUAGGGGCCGACCGACACCUCAUACAGCCAGGUGCCCAUCUGAGAUGAAGCUUCCAGAGGAAGGAUCACACAGCAAAAUGUGAUGUUCUGCAAUAUUUGCUGUUCUGCAACCUCUGCUGCUGAUACCCAGUCAAACAGGGUCUGGAGUGGACCUCCAGCAAACUCCAACAGACCUGCAGCUGAGGGUCCUGACUGUUAGAAGGAAAAGUAACAAACAGAAGGGACAUCCACACCAAAACCCCAUCUGUACAUCACCAUCAUCAAAGACCAAAGGUAGAUAAAACCACAAAGAUGGGAAGAAACCAGAGCAGAAAAGCUGAAAAUUCUGAAAAUCAGAGCACCUCUUCUCCUCCAAAGGAAUGCAACUCCUCGCCAGCAAUGGAACAAAGCUGGACAGAGAAUGACUUCUAUGAGUUGAGAGAAGAAGUCUUCAAACGACUGGUAAUAACAAACUUCUCUGAGCUAAAGGAGGAUGUUUGAACCCAUUGCAAAGAUGUUAAAACCUUGAAAAAAGAUUAGAUGAAUGGCUAACUAGAAUAAACAGCAUAGAGAAGACCUUAAAUGACCUGAUGGAGCUGAAAACCAUGGCACAAGAACUACGUGACGCAUGCACAAGCUUCAGUAGCUGAUUCUAUCAAGUGGAAGAAAGGGUAUCAGUGAUUGAUGAUCAAAUUAAUGAAAUGAAGCCAGAAGAGAAGUUUAGAGAAAAAAAAGUAAAAAGAAACAAACAAAGCCUCCAAGAAAUAAGGGACUAUAUGAAAAGACCAAAUCUACGUUUGAUUUGUGUACCUGAAAGUGACGGGGAGAAUGGAACCAGGUUGGAAAACACUCUUCAGGAUAUUAUCCAGGAGAACUUCCCCAACCUAGCAAGGGAGGCCAACAUUCAAAUUCAGAAAAUACAGAGAAUGCCACAAAGAUACUCCUCGGGGAGAGCAACUCCAAGACACAUAAUUGUCAGAUUCACCAAAGUUGAAAUGAAGGAAAAAAUAUUAAGGGCAGCCAGAAAGAAAGGUCAGGUUGCCCACAAAGGGAAGCCCAUCAGAUUAACAGCGGAUCUCUUGGCAGAAACUCUACAAGCCAGAAGAGAGUGGGGGCCAAUAUUCAACAUUCUUAAAGAAAAGAAUUUUCAACCCAGAAUUUCAUAUCCAGCCAAACUAAGCUUUAUAAGAGAAGGAGAAAUAAAAUCCUUUACAGACAAGCAAAUGCUGAGAAAUUUUGUUACCACCAGGCCUGCCUUACAAGAGCUCCUGAAGGAAGCACUAAACAUGGAAAGGAAAAACCGGUACCAGCCACUGCAAAAACAUGCCAAAUUGUAAACACUAUCAAUGCUAGGAAGAAACUGCAUCAAAUAACGAGCAAAAGAACCAGCUAACAUCAUAAUGACAGGAUCAAAUUCACACAUAACAAUAUUAACCUUAAAUGUAAAUGGGCUAAAUGCUCCAAUUAAAAGACACAGACUGGCAAAUUGGUUAGAGUCAAGAUCCAUCAGUGUGCUGUAUUCAGGAGACCCAUCUCAUGUGCAGAGACACACAUAGGCUCAAAAUAAAGGGAUGGAGGAAGAUCUACCAAGCAAAUGGAAAACGAAAAAAGGCAAGGGUUGCAAUUGUAGUCUCUGAUAAAACAGACUUUAAACCAACAAGGAUCAAAAGAGACAAAGAAGGCCAUUACAUAAUGGUAAAGGGAUCAAUUCAACAAGAAGAGCUAACUCUCCUAAAUAUAUAUGCACCCAAUACAGGAGCACCCAGAUUCAUAAAGCAAGUCCUUAGAGACCUACAAACAGACUUAGACUCCCACACAAUAAUAAUGGGAGACUUUAACACCCCACUGUCAACAUUAGACAGAUCCACGAGACAGAAAGUUAACAAGGAUAUCAAGGACUUUAACUCAGCUUUGCACCAAGCGGACCUAGUAGACAUCUACAGAACCCUCCACCCCAAAUCAACAGAAUAUACAUUCUUCUCAGCACCACAUCGCACUUAUUCCAAAAUUGACCACAUAGUUGGAAGUAAAGCACUCCUCAGCAAAUGUAAAAGAACAGAAAUUAUAACAAACUGUCUCUCAGACCACAGUGCAAUCAAACUAGAACUCAGGAUUAAGAAACUCACUCAAAAC